AAGGUGAAUAAAUAAGAUUAAAGGAGUAGGAGUAUGAAUAAUAAUUAAAAUCAGGUGUCGGUGAUCUGAGGAAGGGUGAUGAAUCAUAAUAGUAAUAGGUCUGGCCGGGUUAAAAAGAAUAGCAGCGGGGCCACUUGGGCAGAGGAAGAAGAUCAAGAAGACAACAACAUCAUCACCCUCACCAAACAAGCUUAUGGAGAUUUGCCGCAACAUCAUUUUCCCCCUCAGGCGUCUCUGCCUUGCUCUCUCUGCUCGCCUCAAGCCUCGCAAAAACGGAGCUGGACUGCUCAAGCUUCAGGAUGAUGUACAGACAUGCGGAUAUCAAGAUGUACAAGUGAUGUGGGAAAUGCUACAGAGAACAGAAGGUGAAGUUAUAGAAAACCACCAUCAUAAGCGCAAGCAAUUGCCCUUCUGGAGGAUCUUUGUAUGGUCCAACCAUACUGAAUCUGCAAAUCAUGCUUAAUGUUAAAACCAGACACAAGUUUUAAGUUUACAAAUAAAACCUCUACUGCAACUGGCAAGCCACCCUCCUUUUAUCUUUCCAUUGCCAGCAUCGCUUAGUGAGGCAUCAUGAUUCCUCUCUUCUUCUUGGCUACUAAAACUAAGUACAAGUCAUAACAAAAUCAUCAGGUUUCUCUUUUACAACUGAAACUUUACUACCCUGUCACAGUAGUAGUAUAUAUAUAUACAUAUGCCAAUAGUUUCAACCCAAGAGCAUUUUGGGAAUAGCUACUGUUUCUCUAACUGCAAACCAAGUAGGUUUCAUGUCUCACUGACAUUGAACCAGCGCCUAGUACGCCCGGAAGAUUACAAUAAUUAACACUGGUCACUCUUAGUAACAAGCAGCAGCAGAGUGUUUAUUAUCUCAAGUUUAUUAUAUUAAGUUUUGUAGAAGUGAGCGCAACGCAUUAUAAUCUAAAAUUUAUCCACGCUCAGACCACAACUGUGUUUAACAAAAGAAAGACGCAUCCAAGUACAUCAAUCAUAGUAUGAUAUACGUGAAUUUCUAUUUCAAGAGUCCAAGAUCACGCCUAACCGGUCAAAUGUAAUGGAAGCAGUACAUCAGAUUGUUCCAAUAAUUGUAUACCAAUUCUAAAAGAUUUGAUAUUAUCACACAACUAUAUAUCAUUUUCCCCUU